AUUGAACGCUGGCGGCAGGCUUUACACAUGCAAGUCGGGCGAGUGGCGGACGGGUGAGUAAUGUAUGGGGAUCUGCCCGAUGGCGGGGGAUAACUACUGGAAAUGGUAGCUAAUACCGCAUACCAUCAGAUCAACCCAUAUGGGAUUAGCUUGUUGGUGUGGUAAAGGCUCACCUAGGCAACGAUCCCUAGCUGGUCUGAGAGGAUGAUCAGCCACACUGGGACUGAGACACGGCCCAGACUCCUACGGGAGGCAGCAGUGGGGAAUAUUGCACAAUGGGCGAAAGCCUGAUACAGCCAUGCCGCGUGUAUGAAGAAGGCCUUCGGGUUGUAAAGUACUUUCAGUCGGGAGGCGUUACCGACAGAAGAAGCACCGGCUAACUCCGUGCCAGCAGCCGCGGUAAUAC
rnacentral:rRNA from 1 species